CCCUUAGAUGUUCUGGGCCGCACGCGCGCUACAAUGAUGAAUUCAACGAGUUUAUAACCUUGGUUGAAAAGCCUGGGUAAUCUUUUGAACUUUCGUCGUGAUGGGGCUAGACCCUUGCAAUUAUUGGUCUCCAACGAGGAAUUCCUAGUAAACGCAAGUCAUCAGCUUGCAUUGAUUACGUCCCUGCCCUUUGUACACACCGCCCGUCGCACCUACCGAUUGAAUGGUCCGGUGAAAUCUUCGGAUUGAGACUUUGUUUUCUUCACGGAAAACGCUGUUUUAAAAAGUUGAUUAAACCUUACCAUUUAGAGGAAGGUGAAGUCGUANCA
rnacentral:rRNA from 1 species